rnacentral:rRNA from 1 species
GACAGAGGAGCCAAGCGUUGUCCGGAUUGACUGGGCGUAAAGCGCACGCAGGCGGUCGUACACGUGGGGUGUGAAAACUGGCGGCUUAACUGCCAGAGGCCACCUCAUACGGCGCGACUCGAGCCCGUGAGAGGUCCAUGGAAUUGCCGGUGUAGUGGUGAAAUGCGUAGAGAUCGGCAGGAACACCCAGGGAGAAAUCAGUGGACUGGCACGGUGCUGACGCUCAGGUGCGAAAGCGUGGGGAGCGAACCGG